AUGAAACUUCACCGAUUCAACCUCAAACCUUCUUAUCUGAUUCGUCCUCAAAUCUCUCUGUCCUUCAACAUCAUCCAUCUCGCGACAGCUCUGCCUCAAAUCUCCCUUGACUCACCAUCAUCAUCUUUGUUUCCGAUUCAAUAUAGAGCUCGAGUUUCAUCCGAGUACAACUUCAUGAAUCUCCAUCUCAAUCCUCGUCACUUGGCGGUUGUGAUUCAAAACUCAGGAAACUCAAAAGAAAUCGGAAGCAUGGGAGGGUAA